GACGAACGCUGGCGGCGUGCUUAACACAUGCAAGUCGAACGGAAAGGCCCUGCUUUUGUGGGGUGCUCGAGUGGCGAACGGGUGAGUAACACGUGAGUAACCUGCCCUUGACUUUGGGAUAACUUCAGGAAACUGGGGCUAAUACCGGAUAGGAGCUCCUGCUGCAUGGUGGGGGUUGGAAAGUUUCGGCGGUUGGGGAUGGACUCGCGGCUUAUCAGCUUGUUGGUGGGGUAGUGGCUUACCAAGGCUUUGACGGGUAGCCGGCCUGAGAGGGUGACCGGCCACAUUGGGACUGAGAUACGGCCCAGACUCCUCCGGAGGCAGCAGUGGGGAAUAUUGCACAAUGGGCGGAAGCCUGAUGCAGCAACGCCGCGUGCGGGAUGACGGCCUUCGGGUUGUAAACCGCUUUCGCCUGUGACGAAGCGUGAGUGACGGUAAUGGGUAAAGAAGCACCGGCUAACUACGUG
rnacentral:rRNA from 1 species